GACUUAUUUCUGGUGCAACAUUUAAAGGAAGAUAUGAAAUUGAGUUACCUGGCUUAGGAACUGAUUUCAACUGAUCGCUUAGCUCCUCAAUCUUGAUGGCUUAAAAUUGCAUCAUUUUGUGUGUGGUGUGUGCAUGUGUUCACAUACACUCUGACCUAAACUGUCUCAUGUUUCCAAAACGUGUACAUUUUUCAACUGUCUCAUGUCUCAUUGGCAACUUAUAGUUAUCUGUCCUAUGGAGAAUAGAUCUUUAUGCUUUU